CUCUUUUUCUUCGUUACCUUGAUGAUUGAUUACUGUAGUAGGUGAUCUUGAGUUUUUCAUAAGCUGUUUGAGUAGUGCUGCUGCCACUGAGUUUGAGAAUUGAGAUCAUCAAGUACAUACAUCUUUCUCUUGCAGAUAUCGGAGUUCAGAUCUUCGCCGUUGAUAUGCUCAAAUCUCUAGCUAGGCCAUGGUUUCGGAUAUCAGCUAUUUUAUACCCAGAAGUAUUGGAUCCUGAGCAAGUAGUGAAAGGGCUAUCUGAGAAGGAUGUGCACCCUUGGACCAUCGAGAAUACUUUAACAUGAAGCAUGCAUCAGCAAGAAACGUGGUGGAACAUUGUUUUGGACUUCUUAAGAUGCGUUGGGCAAUGUUAAGGAGUCCAUUGUUCUAUCCAAUACAAACACAAUGCGAAUAAUAACGGGCUGUUGUCUUUUACACAACUUAAUUAGGAGAGAGAUGUCUAUAGAUCCAAUGGAGCAAGAAAUUUAUUAUGAUCCCCUCAUUGAGAACAAUGUAGAUCAUGGCACUAUUGAUAUCAUUGCCGCAUUCGACCAAUGAUCUGCAUGAAGGGAUAAUUUGGCUACUGAGAUGUUUUAAUGAUUUGAUGGCAAAUAGAGCAACAUAACAUAAGGUGUUGAUCAUUUGAAUAUACUUAAAAGAAUUUUCAUUUUAUUAUUAAUUUUGUGAAUUUUUGGACUA